rnacentral:rRNA from 1 species
CCUACGGGAGGCAGCAGUGGGGAAUAUUGCACAAUGGGGGAAACCCUGAUGCAGCGACGCCGCGUGAGUGAAGAAGUAAUUCGUUAUGUAAAGCCCUAUCAGUAGGGAAGAAAAUGACGGUAUCUGAGUAAGAAGCCCCGGCUAACUACGUGCCAGCAGCCGCGGUAAUACGUAGGGGGCAAGCGUUACCCGGAUUUACUGGGUGUAAAGGGUGUGUAGGCGGGACUGCAAGUCAGAUGUGAAAACCACGGGCUCAACCUGUGGACUGCAUUUGAAACUGUAGUUCUUGAGUGCUGGAGAGGCAGACGGAAUUCCUGGUGUAGCGGUGAAAUGCGUAGAGAUUAGGAGGAACACCAGUGGCGAAGGCGAUCUGCUGGACAGCAACUGACGCUGAGGCGCGAAAGCGUGGGGAGCAAACAGGAUUAGAUACCCCGGUAGUC